AUGGAAGCCAAAGGAGAAACUCAGUGGAGCUCUAUUAUAGUUCCUUCGGUCCAAGAGAUGGUGGAGGAGAAGGUGAUCACAACCGUUCCUCCCAGGUAUGUCCAGUCUGACCAAGACAAAUCUGGAGUGACGGAUGAUUCUGGUCUAAUACCCGAUAUCCCAGUCAUCGACAUGAAGCGGUUGUGUUCUUCCGCUGCCAAGGACUCUGACUACUCUGAGGUUCAGAAACUCGAUUUGGCUUGCAAAGAAUUUGGAUUUUUCCAGCUUGUGAACCAUGGAAUUGACCCAACUUUCUUGGACAAAACAAAGCUGGAGACUCAUGAUUUAUUCAGCCUUCCCAUGGAAGAAAAGAAAAAGUUCUGGCAGAAACCAGAUGAGAUGGAAGGUUUCGGACAAGCUUUUGUGCUUUCAGAAGAUCAGAAACUCGAUUGGGCAGAUAUAUUCUUCUUUACAAUGCAACCUGCUCAAUUACGCAAGCCUCACUUGUUCCCCAAGCUACCUCUUCCCUUUAGAGACACAUUAGAGAUGUAUUCCGCUCAAGUUAAGAGCAUAGCUAAAAUCUUAAUAGCCAAAAUGGGGGAAGCCCUGGAGAUCAAACCUGAGGAAAUUGAAGAAAGAUUUGGUGAUGAUAUGUUCCAGAGUAUGAGGAUGAAUUACUACCCUCCGUGUCCAGAGCCCAAUCAGGUGAUCGGCCUAACUCCGCAUUCCGAUGCGGUCGCACUCACCAUACUGUUGCAAGUGAAUGACGUCGAAGGUCUCCAAAUCAAGAAAGAUGGCAAAUGGGUUUUUGUCAAACCCCUCCCAAACGCUUUCAUUGUCAAUGUUGGAGACGUCUUAGAGAUCAUAACGAACGGGAUAUACAAAAGCAUUGAGCAUCGCGUGGUGGUGAACUCGGAGAAAGAAAGGCUGUCUUUUGCGACAUUUCAUAAUCCGGGACUGAAUAAAGAAAUUUCUCCAGCGAAAAGUCCCGUUGAAAAGCGAAAGAAACGUGCAAAAUUUAAAAGCCUGAUAACUAAAGACUACUUGAAGGGCUUGUUCUCCCGUGAACUCUACGGAAAAGCUUACCUCGAUGCAAUGAGAAUCUAAGGGGAAGUGGUAUCUUGUUUCCCAAGAAACUCUGCCUUCUCCAGACUAGUCCAUGUCUCUGGAAUAUGGACGAUGAGGAAUGAUAUAAAAAUAAUCAGAAUAAGCGGUGGUUCAUUCCAGAUGGCAAUCAUGGUCUGUGAACCAAGAAACUAUAUCCACUCUGUUCUACUCCUCUGUUUUCUUGAUUUCUUCUGCAAACAAUCUCUAUGAUCUGUUCUUCCUUCU